rnacentral:rRNA from 1 species
UGGAGGUAAUCCCAUAAAACCGAUCGUUGUCCGGAUCGCAGUUUGCAACUCGACUGCGUGAAGUCGGAAUCGCUAGUAAUCGUGAAUCAGAAUGUCACGGUGAAUACGUUCCCGGGCCUUGUACACACCGCCCGUCACACCAUGGGAGUGGGUUGCCUCCAGAAGUAGCUCGUCCUACCUUCCGG